AUGUGGGCUAUGGUGAUGAUGGAUCAAAACGUCCUAAUCGCGCUGGUGUCAUAUCUCCUGAUGUUGAUCUUGGGGCCAUUGAUCAUAGAUGUCAUCCUGGUAAGCAAAAAGAUCUGGAGCUUCUUGCACACAUUUACAAAAUACCUAGCGCAUGAUGACACCCUCGUCGUCGACUCUAUGGUGCUUGAUGAUAGCCCCACAUCACCGGCGAAAGUAACUGGUGGUGGAGGAUUAACAUCUCGUGACAUAGAAAUUGUCACGGCGAGGCUAGGUCUUACCGGCUGGAGGUACCAAGGGUGUGAAGGAAUUAGUGUCUUAGAUGAGUUGAUGGACGGUAAGCAAGCGAGCAAGGGCGAGUUGGAGGAGGCCUUCUGUGUUUUCGACCGUGAUGAGGAUGGGUUCAUAUGCGCCGGUGAGCUGUGGAACGUGAUGAGGAGGCUUGGGUGGAAAGAAGGGGCCAUGUAUGAGGAUUGUGUGAGGAUGAUCCGCCCCUUCGAUGAGGAUGAAGAUGGCAAGAUCAGCUUCCUAGAGUUUAGAAGGAUGAUGGAGAAUGCCAUUUAG
rnacentral:rRNA from 1 species